rnacentral:rRNA from 1 species
CCUUCGGGAGCGUGGAGACAGGUGGUGCAUGGUUGUCGUCAGCUCGUGUCGUGAGAUGUUGGGUUAAGUCCCGCAACGAGCGCAACCCUUGCUAUUAGUUGCUAACAGGCAGAGCUGAGCACUCUAAUGGGACUGCCGGUGACAAGCCGGAGGAAGGUGGGAUGACGUCAAAUCAUCAUGCCUUUAUGACCUGGGCUACACACGUGCUACAAUGGAUGGUACAGAGAGCAGCGAGGCAGCGAUGUGGAGCGAAUCUCAAAAAGCCAUUCUCAGUUCGGAUUGGAGUCUGCAACUCGACUCCAUGAAGUCGGAAUCGCUAGUAAUCGCGAAUCAGCAUGUCGCGGUGAAUGCGUUCCCGGGCCUU